GAAGUUAUUGAUCAAACUAGUUUGUGGACUUGCGGAGGCAGAAUGCCUUCUGAACUCAGCUGGAGGAAACCACCAGCCAAUGUGCCCUCGUUGACCUUGCCCUGUGGUUUAUAACAAUAGGCCACCAGCAUCCAUGACUGGAGACCCUCCUCCCAUUCUGCCAUUGUGCCUUCUGAAGAAUGCACUCCGAGACUAGCAUGGAAGACAUGGAUCUUUGCUAUCUUUGCUACCCCCAACAUCCCAAUGAGACCUUCCUUAAAUCAGUGCAGCAUAGCACUAAGGUCUGAAUAUUCGUGCCCCUACCCCAAUUCAUAUGCAAAAUCCUAACCCCCCAGGUGAUGGUAUCAGCAGAUGGGGCCUUUUGAGAGGUGAUCAGGUCAUGAGGACAGAGCCCUCAUGAAUGGACUCGUACCCUUAGAAAAGACAUGGCAGAGAGCCAGCCAGUGCCUACCACCAUGUGAGGACACGUGGAAAGUGCCAUCUAUGAGGAAGAGGCCGUCACCAGGCACUGCUAGUGGCUUGAUCUUGGACUUCCCAGCCUCCGGAACUGUGAGAAAAAAAUGUUUGUUGUUUAUAAGCCACCUCAUUUAUGGUAUUUUUGUUAUGGCAGCCCAAAUGAAGAAGACAUACAGGAAAACAGAAUAAUUUUUAAAAUACCUAAAUAAGCAUUAAAGUAAAAUAGGAAUGGUCACUUCCAAGAUGGUUGGCUACAGUGUUCUUCUCCAACUAACCCUCCCCUUGAGAACAACUAGAAAAACUGCAUAAAAUAUUUUGGAAACUGCUGAGGGUAUCAGAGAGCUACCAGGGCAGUGAGGAUUUGAGGAACCAAAAUCAAGAGGAGAAGGGGAUCGCAGAGGCGUGCCGGACAUUCAGGUCCACUUUCCCCGCUGAGGCAUUUGCCAGUUCAGAGUGUCUGUGGAGGGGCUGAGAAGCUAAGGAGAACUUUGGGCAGUCUCACAGGGCUGGGGAAACCCACCUCAGUGUUCAGGCCCUGCUGUGCAGGAGAGGGCCGGGCAAGCACUCCAGACUUUCAGGUGGGGCAGCGGAGGGGAUACCCCCAGGCAAAAUGCUGAACCGGAAAUGGACCCAUCUUCACAAAGACUGAAAGCAGCUUUGAAUCAGCUCAUCCAGUCUGGCCUAAGGCAAUCUGCCCCUGGCCUAAGUGCCUGCCAAAAGCAAAAGUAAAUCCUCUGCAGGCAGGUGGAUAACAUCAUCUAGAACCUCAGAUUAUAUCAAUGAUGUUAUAUUUAGAAUAUCUGGUAUUCAAAACAGACAGAUAGGUGUGAGACCCACUUUGGGAACUGGCCGUGGGGUCUGGUUCAGUGUACGAUUUCUCAUGAGGAGGGCAGCUGUUUGCAGAGGGAGCCGUGUGCUGGUGCUAACAGCGUUAGCUGCGGUGCAGAGGGUGGUGUGAGCUGUGCAGACACUCUCUCAUCUUCUCCGAACAACAGCUCGGGUGUCGCUAUUGUGAUUUUUCCCAUUUCACAGGGUGACCGGCUCAAGGAAGAUACUCACACUGCGACUUAGCUUCAGGGCCUGGCUUAAGGCUUGUUAAAGGAAACACUCAUUUACCGGACCUCAUCUGCAGACAGCUCCUGGGUUUAAGCGGCACAGAGCACCACACCCGCAGGGUGGCAUGCCACACCACUCCACUGGAGCUCCCGUGUCAACUUGCAGACGGCUGCUAAUGCUGAGCCACGGUUGCCAGAACGUGGGACUGAAUUCCUUGGCUCCUGGGAGGCCGGCAUGGAAGGUGAAGCAGAUGCCUUCAGACCUCUGGGACCAUGGACUGGGGCCCUUGCGGUGGGUUUCUCAGGCACACCCCCAAGGGAGUCCAGACAGAAACCUGGAGCCCCGAGAAAGCUCUCUUGGGAAGUCACUGGGAGCUGCAGGAUGUUCUUAGCAAGCAUCUCAUUCAGAGGGUUUUGAAAUGGGCUCCUCAGGCCCUGGAAGUUCUUUGGAGCAAGGCGGGGUGGGGCAGGGGAAAGGGGACAGGAGGGCUCGGCCCUGCCCAGCCCCGGAUCAGCAGUAUGUUUCACCCUGAUCUGCUUUUUACACUGAUGUUACACAUAAGAUUUCAUUGUUUAAAAUGUUUAAUUUUUUUUUUUUUUUAAUUUUAAAAAGUCCAAUCCUUAAAAAAAAAAAAAAAAAAAA